rnacentral:lncRNA from 1 species
CCCCAUCCGAUUCUGCUCGAUCUGAAUCUCCCUGGUCCUCUUGCUCCCCUGAUCCCCAGUCCCCAGCUUGAUAGAGAAAAGGGAGCCAAAGAAGGCUUCCAACCAACACGCAAGAGAUUUUUGGCUGCCAGCCCUGAUUGUAGCGUUGGUGCCUCGUUGUGGUGGUUUUGGAUUCAUCUCAAUCUGGUGGGGACAACAAGCAACCGGCCUGGCCAUAAUCAUUCAGGUUCUUUUGUUUCAGUUUUAUCCCUUAGUUUAUGAACUGUUCUUGUGCUAUACUUAAUUUUUUUGUGCUCAGAUGUCAUCUAAUAAAAAAAUUGUCUCGGCAUGAAAAGUGACUAAAGAGAAAGCUAGCAGAUGAAAAAUUAGAACCGCAAAAGGGAUAUGUUCACAAAUUUCGAAGCCAAGUGCAAGUUCUGAUAGUACUUCUUGUGAACUAGCUAUAACAAUUGUUGAAAUACAACCAGAUGAAACUUUAGAUGAGAACGAUAACAACGUUAGUGGUCAAGAAAAUUUAGGCGAGGGUAAUAAUGCUGCGAGUGAACCUGACAAUUUAGGCAAGGGUACCGAUGCUGUGAAUGAUAAUAACAUGAGCGAUUCUGUGCCAGCACAACAGCCUUGUGCUUCAAAUAUUUAUGAUCCAGCAAAUUGGGAAUGUUUAGAUGAUAAAGCACGGGCUAUUUUAGUUGAAAAGGGACCUAUCGGACAAGAAAACCUCGUAUCUCAUUCAGAUGAUUCUUUUUUUCUUAAGCAAUUGCUUCUAUUUUUUUUUAUGUACAGAGGCCCCAUUAUGUGAGUAUACUGUUUUAUAUGACGAGUGGGAGAGCUAAGUCCUAGUAGUACUUGCGAUCAGCACACUAGCAAAACACACUCACUAGUGCUGCUCACACACAUACGUACAUGUAUGGAGUAGUACUACCUGAGGCUAGAUAGUUUGAAUGAGAAUAGCCUGAUGUUACAACGAGGGCAUCGGCCCUUUAAAUAGCAGUACAAACCGACCUAGGAACUCAAAUAUUUCUACUAGCUAAUACGUCAUUGCGGACAUAUUUCUAAGGCUGCAUAACUGGACAUAGGCCCUGUUUGGAACCAUAAUAGAUUAUAAUAAUCUGGUUUAUGAACAUAGAUUAUAUAAACUGGUUUAUAAAAAUAAUCUAGGUGGGCAUGUUUGGAGGCCAGAUUAUAUAAACUGUAAACCAGCUUUUAAAUUGUGCAAUGACAUGUUUGCCCUCUGUUUUUUUUUGCGAUGGGAAAACGGUGCGGUGGCAGUACCUUGUAAAUAGCUCAAAGUUAAUAAGGGUAACAUGUCUUUAUUAAUCCAUAAUCUGAUUUUAGCUGGGUUAGAGUAGCUUAUGAGUUUUUAAUAAUCUGGUCAUCUAGUUUUUAUAAUCUAUAGUAUAAACUGCCCUGUUUGGAAACAUAAUAGCUUAUAAAAACCAGAUUAUAUAAACUGGAUGAAUCCAAACAGGGCCAUAAUUUCUCUGAAUCAUUUGCCACUUACAUGCAAAAAUCACUGACUACUUACUCCAAGAUUUGGUGGACCUGCAACUGGCUCAUUACUGAAGCUGAUUUUGAUUCUGGGACCUGCAACUGGCUCAUUACUAAAUAUUUUUUCACCAUGUUCUAGUCUCUGUAAAUUUAAUUCCCGUAUUUACACUGUUCAUUGCAGACACGCCCCAUCACUGAAGUCAGAAAAUAUUAUUUGGUUCCCGAUUUGGCUAUGGGAUAAGGAGUGGACCAUCUUGAUGCGUAUUCUGAAUUUAGACCGGUGACUGGAGAUGGGGACUGUUUCUACAGGAGCUUCAUAUUUUCCUACCUUGUAAUCGACUAAUUGUUCUUCUCUCUUUUCCUUCUAAUAGGAUAUAGAUUUACUUAUUUAAUUUUCUCUGUCUAUGCAAAUGUACAACAGGAGCAAGUUCUUGAUAGACAGGACACACUUGAGGAACACCGUCUCCUUGAUGCUGUUAAAAGAGUGUCUUUGCAACAUGCAGAUCUUAGAUGGACCUCUGAAUUUCCCAGGAGCUACAGAGUAAGUUCUUG